rfam:Microdochium bolleyi strain J235TASD1 unplaced genomic scaffold Micbo1qcscaffold_33, whole genome shotgun sequence.
GGUGCUAUCGUCCAGUGGUUAAGACAUCACGUUGUGGUUGUACACUAGUACAGUUAACACUUUCACUGUCACGCAAGUAAAUUGCCGUGAAAACGCCGGUUCGAUUCCGGCUAGCGCCA